CUACAUCUACAUGUGCUCUGCUAGGUUUUUAGGACACUUUGAUAAAUCCUUACCCUUCAUUUCUUAAAACCUUGAGCCUUGGCCCCAUUACAACCCUAAAUAAGACCUUCUUGAUCCUUAAGAUGGGACAGCCUUUGAUUUGUGGAGAUGAGUUACAAGAGUUGAACCUAUGGCUUGGGUCCAUCCGUGCAAGUAGUUGAUAUCCUUCAUGAGAUCUUUUCAAAAAAAAAAUUAUAUUCACAAAGUGCUUUUCGUUUCUUAUAUAUGUGAGCUAUUUGAUUGCCUCAAAAUAUUUUCUCUCACAUAUAAUUGAGUGAUUAUAAGCUUUUAAGCAUUGUCUUGAAUUCUGAGAGAAGAAAGAGUGGAUAUACCUUGUGAGGAUAUGAAUCAUACUUGUUCGAAGCAUGCUUAACAGAAACCAUCACCAUUAUUACAACCAAGUCCUACUUGUGUAUUUGAGUGCUAAUCUUGAUGUAGUGAAAGUAGGAGAUUUCUGAGACAAAAAGUUGAAGGGCAAUAGAGUCAUUGUUUUUGUAGAGUCUUUAAUUUUCGUUGAGUAUUAGUGUGUGUCUUAGUGUGAUUUUGCUAAGGGACUAGCAAAAGCUAAGUGUGGGGGAAUUUGAUAGGAGCAUUUUAAUGCGACGUUUUAACUGCAUUUCCCUACAUUUCUUACGUUAUUUCCUUAUUAAAAUCCUGUUUAGGAAAGUUUCCAUUCUUUGAUUGGGAAAGUUCCUAUUUGUAGAAAGUUUAUAUUUUUGUAGUUUCUAUUUAUCAUUUUUAGUAAGUUGCCAUUUUUCAUUUUAGGAAAGUUUCUAUUUUUCUUAUUAGUUUCUAUUUUUUUAGGACCUCCAAGCAAGUGGAAAAUCUUGAGGAGGAAAAUCAAAGUU
rnacentral:lncRNA from 1 species